CCAUUCCGUCACAGCCACUCGAGGUUAACUACAUCGUAAAUCUGACAGUGAUGGUCCCCAAGGCUGGCCUCAAAUGAGACGAGUGCUUUUAAGUGCCUUUUCUGGAUUUGGGAAGAGGGAAGAGCGGACAGAGGCAUCAUAAGGACUCCCAGGAUAGACAGCCUGUGUCUGCUAGCUGUAUGGAGUCAGCACCUGACGGAACCACAUGAUGUUGCUCGAGGAUCCAAACGAUCUGUGAGAAGCAGGGUUUUCUCUGAACUUCGAUCCCAGAAUUCCUUGCUGCAGCCUCUCUCAUCGAGAAGAAGAGACAGCUAGGCCUAGCGGCAGAUGCUGGCAGGCUCCGACUCUGAGCUUCUGAGGCCGACACGGACAAGCACACGUGUGAAAGCGCAGAUGUACACAGAGGGUGUGACACCAUAUUCUUACUCCGCUAGGGAAGUUCUUUUCUCCAUCCUUCCAAGUGCCCCUUGGCAUUUGGAAGAAAGGUAAGCACAGCCCAUGAAUCCUCUCAAACAGUCACUCCAGCCACUCUCCUUUCUCCUCAGAAGGAGCCGCCAGGGAUGAGUGCCCGCAGGAAAACAGCGCUGGUCUGAGGAGACCCCUCUGCACUUACCUCCAG